GGAUGCGAUCAUACCAGCACUAAAGCACCGGAUCCCAUCAGAACUCCAAAGUUAAGCGUGCUUGGGCGAGAGUAGUACUAGGAUGGGUGACCUCCUGUGAAGUCCUCGUGUUGCAUUCC
rnacentral:rRNA from 1 species